GUUAUUUCCAAAUUGUAUUAUAGCAAUUAAUUCUAACACACUAUUCUUGGACAAGAUGGAGGACGAUUUCAAUGACAUUGUGAUUGAGGCAUUGGAAGUGUUCAUCAACCAUAUCUUGUACACAAGAGAUGUUUAUCCUGCCCAAAUUUUCAAAAAACGAAGAAUGUACAAUACACCAGUGUAUACAUCAAUAUAUCCUCCUUUAAACACCUAUAUAUACAAUGUAUUUCGUAUACUUCGUGAGCUGCUCAAGGCGCGAGAAUUGGAAUGCGUGCAAAUACUGUUGUACAAAGAUGAUAGCAAGGAAUACGAAAAGUAUAAUUUUAAAGUUUUGCAAAUGUUGGAAAAUAAAGUAUGUGAAGAUGAAUUUUUAAUGGAAUUCGAGGAACAAUUGCGAUCUUCCUUAUAUACGCUGGCAGAAAGAUUAAAAAAUUUGGAAAAACUUCCCUCAGAUUGUAAAUUCAAAAUACAAAUAUACACUACGCAAGCGGGAUUCGUAAGACUGUCACACAAUCCUCACUAUCAGGAAUUUCCGUGGUUGCGUGCUGAUCUAAAAAGCUCUGAACCAAGGAAGAGCAUUUCAUUGUUGCCCCUUACUACAUUAAACACGUGUAAAGCAUCUAAAAACUGCGACACCUGGAAACAGUACUGAGUUAAACAAAACACAAGGUAAUGUUGUUGUUGGCGAAGAUGGUGCUGCUGUUGUUGCUGAUGAUGAUGAUGGUGAUAGUGAUGUUUCAGCCUUUGACUUCCCCAUUCAGCAAAUUAUGAAUGGAUUUUUGCUGCCGAUUUUCAAAUCAACGUGUGCCAUCUAUUUCUGCAAAGCUUAUCUACCGCCCUGAACCUAACC